rnacentral:rRNA from 1 species
CUUACCAUGCAGUCGAACGGUGAAAGAGAGCUUGCUCUCUGGAUCAGUGGCGAACGGGUGAGUAACACGUGAGCAAUCUGCCCCUGACUCUGGGAUAAGCGUUGGAAACGACGUCUAAUACCGGAUACGAGCUGCGAAGGCAUCUUCAGCAGCUGGAAAGAACUUCGGUCAGGGAUGAGCUCGCGGCCUAUCAGCUAGUUGGUGAGGUAAUGGCUCACCAAGGCGUCGACGGGUAGCCGGCCUGAGAGGGUGACCGGCCACACUGGGACUGAGACACGGCCCAGACUCCUACGGGAGGCAGCAGUGGGGAAUAUUGCACAAUGGGCGCAAGCCUGAUGCAGCAACGCCGCGUGAGGGACGACGGCCUUCGGGUUGUAAACCUCUUUUAGCAGGGAAGAAGCGAAAGUGACGGUACCUGCAGAAAAAGCACCGGCUAACUACGUGCCAGCAGCCGCGGUAAUACGUAGGGUGCAAGCGUUAUCCGGAAUUAUUGGGCGUAAAGAGCUCGUAGGCGGUUUGUCGCGUCUGCUGUGAAAACCCGAGGCUCAACCUCGGGCCUGCAGUGGGUACGGGCAGACUAGAGUGCGGUAGGGGAGAUUGGAAUUCCUGGUGUAGCGGUGGAAUGCGCAGAUAUCAGGAGGAACACCGAUGGCGAAGGCAGAUCUCUGGGCCGUAACUGACGCUGAGGAGCGAAAGGGUGGGGAGCAAACAGGCUUAGAUACCCUGGUAGUCCACCCCGUAAACGUUGGGAACUAGUUGUGGGGUCCAUUCCACGGAUCCCGUGACGCAGCUA